CAAUAGCGUAUAUUAAAGUUGUUGCAGUUAAAAAGCUCGUAGUUGAAUUUCUGUACAUUCCCGGUGCCGGCUCUUGUCGAACCGUGGAGUGUGCAUCCGCUUACAAACUUAGCCCGGUCUUCAUUGGUCGACUAAGGGAGUAGGCCCUUUACUUUGAAAAAAUUAGAGUGUUUCAAGCAGGCAAUGGCUCGAAUACAUUAGCAUGGAAUAAUGGAAUAGGACUGAGGUCCAUUUGGUUGGUUAUUGGACUUUGGUAAUGAUUAACAGGGACAGUUGGGGGCAUUAGUACUUAACAGUCAGAGGUGAAAUUCUUGGAUUUGUUAAAGACUAACUUAUGCGAAAGCAUUUGCCAAGGAUGUUUNCAUUA
rnacentral:rRNA from 1 species